AUAUCCGCCUUCCAUGAUGGAGGCAUAUUCUCUCUUUUGUUUGACCGAGAUGCUGUGUUUGCUGCGCUGGUGAAUCUCGUGUAUGGCGGGCAUAUUGCAGCCUACGCUUUUAAACUAAUAUUUCAAUUGCAAUCGCUCAUAUUUCUUUGAUGGUUAUAUGAACUGAACAAGCAUUCCGUUCAUAGACAGACAAACCUUAAUUGGUUAUGUUGAUGGAUGGGCAGGUGCCUGAAUGCUGUUGGUCGCGGGUCGGACGGCUGUUGUGUUAGGGUUGUCGUCGCCUUCUAUUGGGGACUGUGUGUAUGCCGCUGCUUUAGUCUUACUGUGUCGAUGCAGAUGGGUCAAACUUUAAUUUAUAUUUUGUAAACCGAUAGCACUGGUGCACUUUUACUCUCCUUGAGAUACGGCAUUACGGCAAUUUAAACCACUUUCUAAUUUGUGUGAGGCUUGCGCCGAUUUAUCUUAAAGAGACAGUACAAAGCGCAUUGCUCAGAUACUAGGCACCAUUGUCA